UAAGGUGGUGGACGCCGUAUCGUAUAGGU
rnacentral:sRNA from 1 species